UACGGAGGGUGCAAGCGUUGUCCGGAAUCACUGGGCGUAAAGGGCGCGUAGGCGGCUCGGUAAGUAGGGGGUGAAAUCCUGCGGCUUAACCGCAGGGCUGCCUUCUAAACUGUCGAGCUCGAGCACGGUAGAGGCAGAUGGAAUUCCCGGCGUAGCGGUGGAAUGCGUAGAGAUCGGGAAGAACAUCAGUGGCGAAGGCGGUCU
rnacentral:rRNA from 1 species